rnacentral:rRNA from 1 species
GACGAACGCUGGCGGCGUGCUUAACACAUGCAAGUCGAACGGAAAGGCCCUGCUUUUGUGGGGUGCUCGAGUGGCGAACGGGUGAGUAACACGUGAGUAACCUGCCCUUGACUUUGGGAUAACUUCAGGAAACUGGGGCUAAUACCGGAUAGGAGCUCCUGCUGCGUGGUGGGGGUUGGAAAGUUUCGGCGGUUGGGGAUGGACUCGCGGCUUAUCAGCUUGUUGGUGGGGGAGUGGCUUACCAAGGCUUUGACGGGUAGCCGGCCUGAGAGGGUGGCCGGCGACAUGGGGACUGCGAGACGGCCCAGACGGCUACGGGAGGCAGAAGUGGGGAGUAUGGCACAAUGGGCGGAAGCCUGAGGCAGCAGCGCCGCGUGCGGGAUGACGGCCUUCGGGUUGUAAACCGCUUUAGCCUGUGACGAAGCGGGAGUGACGGUAAUGGGUAAAGAAGCACCGGCUAACUACGUG